rfam:Aedes aegypti strain Liverpool supercont1.2 genomic scaffold, whole genome shotgun sequence.
GGCUCGGUAGCUUAGUUGGUAAAGCGCUCGUCUCGCAUACAAGUCCUGGGUGCAAAUCCCAGCCGAGCAC